rnacentral:rRNA from 1 species
GAUGAACGCUGGCGGCGUGCCUAAUACAUGCAAGUCGAGCGAACAGAUGAGGAGCUUGCUCCUCUGACGUUAGCGGCGGACGGGUGAGUAACACGCGGAUAACCUACCUAUAAGACUGGGAUAACUUCGGGAAACCGGAGCUAAUACCGGAUAAUAUAUUGAACCGCAUGGUUCAAUAGUGAAAGACGGUUUUGCUGUCACUUAUAGAUGGAUCCGCGCCGCAUUAGCUAGUUGGUAAGGUAACGGCUUACCAAGGCAACGAUGCGUAGCCGACCUGAGAGGGUGAUCGGCCACACUGGAACUGAGACACAGUCCAGACUCCUACGGGAGGCAGCAGUAGGGAAUCUUCCGCAAUGGGCGAAAGCUUGACGGAGCAACGCCGCGUGAGUGAUGAAGGUCUUCGGAUCGUAAAACUCUGUUAUUAGGGAAGAACAAAUGUGUAAGUAACUAUGCACGUCUUGACGGUACCUAAUCAGAAAGCCACGGCUAACUACGUG